GCAGCCGCGCCCUAGUAGCUUCCAGCCCGCCUGGCGGCCGGCGUGGGUCCGGCCCGAAGCUCCCUCACGCCAACCCUCCCGCAAAAGCAGCCCCUGUCGGCGCCCCCUCUACUGUUCUGAGCUUCACUCAAGGCCCACUCCGCCAAAAAUAUGUACUUAAAAAAAGAUCCUAACCCCCAAAGAAAGAAUGAAAAUGCGGAAGCAGGAUCUCACAGGCCUUUCGAGAUCCUGUAAUCAUAUUUUCCCCUUCCAGCCCUUUAGGAUCUGUUUCUUGGCUGUUUGUUUUUAAGGUCUAAUAGGAAAGGAGAAAUGCUUAGUUAAGUGAACAAUCCCAGUCUAAAAUAGGUCCUUCCCGCUCCUCCAUCCCGAAGAGUCAGGAGAAUUGUAACAUCAGGUUAAAUAACGAAGAAACGACCCUCGUGGAAAUUUUCCAAGAGCAUCUCUACGGCCCCAACCCCCCACUGCUGCAUCUAUGAAGGAAGCUGAAAAGGAGGAUUUCUUUCCUUUCUAUCCCUGGCAUUGGUACUCACUACAUAAAUGGUGAAGAUACUGACACACCCACUCAUCUGACACCCAAAUGAUGUCUCCCUGGUUGAAGAAUCCCUAAAAUCCUUUGCACAUUAUCUCCAUAGGUUUUGUCAGAAUGCAAGUCUCUCCUUCAGGUUUGAUUGACUCCAUUGCAUCGGCUUCUGGAGGGGAAAAGCCUGCCAGCACCCACACUGUUUACGUUUUCUACUGUCUCCAGAGCUGCUGGAGUUUAAUUCUCGGAAGUUAAAUGUAGUAAUGAUGCGAUUGAAUGGAGUAGCAUAGUUUUUAUAUUAGAAAAAAAAGUUUAAACUAAGGAAAUGCAAAACAGGCAAAUAAAAUAAACCAUCCAUCUUGUUUUAAUCUUGACAUUUCCCUGCUCACAAACCUUUAGAUUGUUUCACUUACUAAAAAUGUCCAUAUUUCUUAAUUUGGCUGUCGAGGCAUAUUACAGUUGGAUUCCAUAAAACCUAAUUUGCCAUUUUUCCUAUAUACCCUAUGAUCCCACCAAAGUGUGCUUUUCCCUUUUCCCAAUGAUAACCUUUA